GUAGAACGCUGAGAACUGGUGCUUGCACCGGUUCAAGGAGUUGCGAACGGGUGAGUAACGCGUAGGUAACCUACCUCAUAGCGGGGGAUAACUAUUGGAAACGAUAGCUAAUACCGCAUAAGAGAGACUAACGCAUGUUAGUAAUUUAAAAGGGGCAAUUGCUCCACUAUGAGAUGGACCUGCGUUGUAUUAGCUAGUUGGUGAGGUAAAGGCUCACCAAGGCGACGAUACAUAGCCGACCUGAGAGGGUGAUCGGCCACACUGGGACUGAGACACGGCCCAGACUCCUACGGGAGGCAGCACUAGGGAAUCUUCGGCAAUGGGGGCAACCCUGACCGAGCUACGCCGCGUGAGUGAAGAAGGUUUUCGGAUCGUAAAGCUCUGUUGUUAGAGAAGAAUGAUGGUGCGACUGGAAAAUCCACCAAGUGACGGUAACUAACCAGAAAGGGACGGCUAACUACGUGCCAGCAGCCGCGGUAAUACGUAGGUCCCGAGCGUUGUCCGGAUUUAUUGGGCGUAAAGCGAGCGCAGGCGGUUUUUUAAGUCUGAAGUUAAAGGCAUUGGCUCAACCAAUGUACGCUUUGGAAACUGGAGAACUUGAGUGCAGAAGGGGAGAGUGGAAUUCCAUGUGUAGCGGUGAAAUGCGUAGAUAUAUGGAGGAACACCGGUGGCGAAAGCGGCUCUCUG
rnacentral:rRNA from 1 species